UUUCGGAUUUCAAUGGAUCUGUUGCUGUUGCCGAUGCUGGCGUUAAUGGGAAAAUGGGCGUAGACGAACCUCAUCUUGUAGCGGUAGCCCUUAGUGACGCCGGUGAUGAGGUUGUCAACGUGGCUGAGCGCGGUGCGAAUGGAAGCUGAGGUUUUGCGAGAUCCGAACCAGGCAUCGAUCUUCAGCUUCUUCUUGCCAUUCUCAUCGGUGAUAAGCUGAAAAUCGAGGUUGAGAUGUUUGAAAUCUCGCACUAAUUUCCCACGAGGUCCCUCCACCUCGAUCACCUUCGCGUGAACCUU
rnacentral:lncRNA from 1 species